rnacentral:lncRNA from 1 species
GAAGCACUCUGACUAGAUGGUUCUGGAAAAACUUACACUCCCAAUGCUUGACCUUGGAACUGAUCUGCAUGAUAUGGUAGCCGCCAGCCACAUGAGCUGUUUGGCUUUAAGUUAGUUAAAAUCAAAUAAAUGUAAAUUUCCGGUUCCAGCACGUUGGUCCUACUUGGAGUAUUUGAUAACUUCUGUGGGAACUGGCUACAGAGUUGACCAACAUAGAGACAGACAUUUUCCCUCAUCAUAGAAGUUUCUGUCAGACAGACUUUUCCUAUCUUAUGUCCCAAGAGGAGAACGAUUACAUCCUAUUCAUCACCAUAUUCCCAGCCCAUAGAUACAGUGCACUGUUUACAGAAAAUGCUCAAUCAAACACCCACUAAAGGAGAGAAAUCACGACAACCUGUGUUAAGUGAUCGUUCAUAAACAUUGUUCAAUUUUGAGAAUGUUUUCAAAUAAAUCUUCACAUCCGUAA